rnacentral:rRNA from 1 species
UUGCCUACGGGCGGCUGCAGUAGGGAAUCUUGCGCAAUGGGCGAAAGCCUGACGCAGCCAUGCCGCGUGAAUGAUGAAGGUCUUAGGAUUGUAAAAUUCUUUCACCGGGGACGAUAAUGACGGUACCCGGAGAAGAAGCUCCGGCUAACUUCGUGCCAGCAGCCGCGGUAAUACGAAGGGGGCUAGCGUUGCUCGGAAUUACUGGGCGUAAAGGGCGCGUAGGCGGACAGUUAAGUCAGAGGUGAAAGCCCAGGGCUCAACCUUGGAACUGGCUUUGAUACUGGCUGUCUUGAGUUCGGGAGAGGUGAGUGGAAUGCCGAGUGUAGAGGUGAAAUUCGUAGAUAUUCGGCGGAACACCAGUGGCGAAGGCGACUCACUGGCCCGAUACUGACGCUGAGGCGCGAAAGCGUGGGGAGCAAACAGGAUUAGAUACCCCAGUAGUC